GGUUUUGAGGGUGAUCUAGCCAAAACAUCUGUCAUCUCAUUAACCACCAAGUUGUUUCAGCUGGUCUGACUGGCUAUGUGGAUGUCCCCCUCCUCCCUCACCUAUCCACGUGUUUCCUACCCUAAAUGGAAGUUGUGCACUCACUAGAAGACUUCUUCUUCUUCUAGCGUUUGCCCUUCUUCCGUAGCCAGUCAACAGCGUCAGGUUGAAAGCUGUCAGGAGCUGCUUGUUUCUGGCUUUGAAAGUGACUGGGAUCCAUGUGGAUUCAGUCGGCU
rnacentral:snRNA from 1 species